UACGUAGGCAGCGAGCGUUGUUCGGAGUUACUGGGCGUAAAGCGUGCGUAGGCGGUGGCCCAAGUCUGGUGUGAAAUCUCCCGGCUUAACCGGGAGGGUGCGCCGGAAACUGGGCUGCUGGAGUACGGGAGAGGCAAGCGGAAUUCCUGGUGUAGCGGUGAAAUGCGUAGAUAUCAGGAGGAACACCCGUGGUGCAGACGGCUUGCUGGACCGUGACUGACGCUGAGGCACGAAAGCGUGGGUAGCAAACAGG
rnacentral:rRNA from 1 species